GUGGUCAGUAGCGUCAGCUUUGUUGUGGUGUACGCGUGAGUCUUGUGUUUUCUUGAACGCUUAUUUGAGCUUUAGGUGAACCAAAACUCUCUAAAAGCCUGUGCACAGUGGUCAGCAGCUGUGACACAAGGAGCAGCUCUCUCAGCGACGGGGAGCGGUGGACGGCGGAUGAAUACUUCGACUCCCGCGCCUUCUUCCGCAUCAUGUCCGACCCGCCGAUCCUGGUGGUGGGCGGCGUGCGUCAGAGGAGUUGAAAAAUGUGAGAGAAGACACAGUAUGUUGAGGGAAGGCAGCUGCACCAGUGACAGCAGCAGCAGAGCCCCACCACUGCUGCUGCUCCUCUCCUCUUCCCAGCACAGCAGCACACAGGACACAUUUCCAUCAUCUUUAAAUCCCGGACACUUGUGACUUGGUGAUAAUCUCACAGCAGCAAACCCUACAUUGCUCAGGUCAACUUCCAGCUAGAAUCAUAAUAUCUUGAGUUAUUUUUCCACAAAGAAGGAUUCAAAAUAUCCCACCAAAAAAUAAGAUAUUUUUAGAAAUGAAAAUCCACUCGAAUUUUCUGCCUGAAGCUCUCGUUAAAAUGACUCCCUCUUGAAUCUUGUGUCCGACUCCUACUGUGUCCAAGAGAACGGGUCUCCAGUUUGUAGUGAGACUUCCGAGCCGCCCAGACCUGUGAAGGCGAGCAGUCCGUCAGAUGAUGAGAGUAGACAACAUAAGCAACAUAAUGAGAGACAAAGUCACAAUAAUAGAGAUAAAAUGAAGGCACUCAAGUAUUAAUGAGAAAACAAGACAGAAUAAUGAGCAAAGUAAAAUAAUGAGACAGUAAGGCCAGUCAACAAAUAAUAGUGAAUUUACUGUAGGAAGGGUCUGCUGUACUACUUAAUGACCAUUCAAGUCUUCUUGUUAAAGAUGUGUUUACACUUUGAAGUGUCAUUUUCUUGUACUAUGAUACAUUUUUAACUAUUUUCUUCCACCUGCCUUAGUUAACAUUGAGUAGAGUCUCACUAAUAUAACUUGAAUAUUACUCAGCCGGCAGUCUUUGCCAUGGUGGAGUGUGACACUGAAUCAGUACUGACAUUUUAUCAUUUAUAUUUCAUUACUUUGAUUACUCAACAAAAUACUGCAUUGUUUUUUGUAACCUGCUGACUGGUGAAGGGACAACGUGUGCUCCUCAACACUUGGUUCUUGCCACGUGCCGCAGCAGACUGACAGCUUCCAGUGGGCCUGUCUGAGGGGCGUGACCUCUGCCGCAUUGCUUCAGCAGCCUUCAAGUCCCGGCAGUGAAACGGUUCGUGUGAGGAAGACUGCUUCUGGUGCUACAGGUGGAAAUUGUUACUAGUGUGUAAAUAUGUGGUAAAUAUCUGUGGAAACCAAAGGAUGUUUUCUCUCGUACCAAACGUUAUGAUCAUGGAGAUACCUCUCUUCCUGCACACAAAACAACUACAACCACCUAAUUAUUACACACACACUCCUACACCAGCCUCGGAGUCCCCAUCUGGUAACAACCCUAAAUGUCUUGACACCCCUCUCAGUUUUUCUUCUUAAACUUCUACAACAUUCACGUUCAAUCUGUAGAAAACUGCCUCUCCUCUAUUAAGCUUCAUCAUCCUUUCCUCACUGAAACUCUGGUGUCUGAGGCAACUGACAGUAGCCCCUUUUCAGUUUCCUCUUACUUUCUCUAUCCAAAGCUGGAUGUUGUGUUUAUGUGCGCAAUGAAAUUAACCUGCUUUCGUGCCCACGCUCUUGAAUCUUUCGGGUUUUCCACCACCUGGCUACGACUACAGAGUCACUCUCAUACUAAAUUUAUCUGUGUUGUAUACCUUUCACCUAAUUCCUCUGACUGUAAGAAAUUCUUUGACUACUUAACUUCCAAAGUGGAGCACAUUCCAACUCUCUUCCCUUUUGCAGGGAUCUCCAUUCUUGGAGACUUCAAUGUUCACCACCAGCUUUGGCUUUCCUCUCCCUUCACUGACCAUCCUGGUGAACUAGCCUUCAACUUUGCUAUCCUCCAUGACCUAGAGCAAUUGGUGCAACACUCUAAUCGUAUUCCUGACCGUCUUGGAGAUAUGCCCAACAUUCUUGACCUUUUCCUGACCUCUAAUCCUUCUGCUUAUUCUGUUACCCUCUCUUCUCUGUUGGGCUCUCCGAUCACAUCUAGUAUCUGUAUCUUGUCCUAUCACUCCAAUCCCUCCUCAGGAUCCCCUAAGUGAAGGUGCCUCUGGCGUUUUGCCUCUGCUAGUUGGGGGAACCUGAGGAGGUAUUUUGCUGAUUUUCCUUGGAAUGACACUACUGCUUCCGUGACGGAGACCGUCCUGUGUGCCGAGUGCAUAAGAGGUGAUAGUGUCUGGCAUGGAGGCGUACAUUCCUCACUCUUUUUCUCGACCUAAACCUCCAAAACUUGGUUUAACACAGCUUGUUCUCGUGCUAUACAUGAGAGAGAGGUGGCCCACGAAAGGUGCUAAAGCCUUCCAUCACCAGAAUCUCAUGCACUUUACAUUUCUGCCCGGAACCAUGCCAAGUCUGUUCUCCAACUAGCCAAAAACUCCUUCAUUAAUAGUGUCAAUAGGGAAGAAGGGGUAGUGAGAAGGCGAGGGGCAAAAUAGUUAAAUCUAGAAAGGUAGCUAGCUCAGGGAUGGUGAGAAAUAGCUUAAGUAUUUACUACACAAACUGUAGAAGUAUUCUGAAUAAAAUAGACUUGCUUAGAGGAAUAGCGAGCGUUGAGAAAUUUGAUAUCAUUGCUUUAACUGAAACUUGGUUAGAUAUGUCAGGAAAAGUAUUUAAUCCAGAGGUUAAGAUAGAUGGGUAUACAAUGUUCUAUAAAGAUAGGGAAAACAGGAGAGGAGGAGGCGUCGCGUUAUACGUUAGGGACACAUUACAGUGUUGUAUCAACAGUAGAAUUAAAACAGAUAACAAAGAGUCGAUAUGGGUAGAUAUUAAAGAAGGAUCGCAGUCAGUAGUACUAGGGGUAGUUUACAGAUCACCGACCAGUACAGAGGAAAUUAACACCUCACUGUGGCAGGAAUUAAAUAGAGCAGGCAGAUACAGUCAGGUAUGUGUGGUAGGAGAUUUUAAUUUUAGGAAUAUCGACUGGAGUCUGAUGGUGGGUAACAAGGAAGCAGAGGAAUUUCUUAAGGUAAUUCAGGAUAAUUUUUUAAAACAGGUAGUCGUAGAACCUUCAAGGGGGAAUAAUAUUCUAGAUUUAAUUCUUACUAGCAGGGAGGAAGCAGUCACGCAGGUAGAGGUUGGAAGACAGCUAGGUAACAGUGACCAUAGGGAAAUUAGGUACAAUUUAGAAUGGGAUGAAACAGUUAGACACAAAAACACUAGUAAAAUACCGGACUUUAGGAGAGUAAAUUUUGAAGAAUUAAAAAGGUACCUCCAAGGAGUGGACUGGCAAAGGAUGCAGGGUGAGGUCAGGUCAGGGACGGAGUUCAGAGAGAUAAGGCAGGAUGGGAGGUGCGGUGAGGCGAGGGUGUAGGACAAGAGGAGGGAAGAUGUGUCCGGAAAGGAGGAGGAAAGAGGAAGGGGGGAGAUAGGUGUGAGUAUGUUGGAAUGUCAGGUCAUGCUGAAAUGAGAGAGGUAAGGUCGAGGCGAGUAGAUGAGGGAGUGGAGAGGAUGGUAGGGGACGAGAUGAGGGGUCUAGGUGAAGUAAAUGGAGAUGAAUUGUAUAAAUAUUUCGUAGAUAAAGUUCAUACAGGUCAGUUAGCAAAUAUCCCGUAUAGAACAAUAAGAUCACAAAAAAAUGACCCUAAAUGGAUGACUGCUAGGUUAAAGCAUUAUAUAGGGCGUAAGAGAAGUAUAUAUAAGAGAUUAAGGGCAGGUGAAGAAGUUUUAAGGACACAAUAUAAUGAAUUAGAACAGUCAGGAAGUUAACGAGGAAAGCUAAGGACAAUUAUGAAUCAAAGGUAGCCAGCCAGGCGAAGACGGACCCCAAGGGAUUUUAUCAGGUAUACAGGACGAAGAAUAAGGAUACUGUAGGUCCAUUAAAGGCAGCAGAUGGGGAGCUGGUUAGUUCUGGGGAGGAGAUUAGUAAACUUCUGAAUGAUUAUUUUUUAACUGUCUUCACCCAGGAAAACAUGCAGGAUAUGCCAGAUAGUGAACAGGUGUUUAGAGCAGAUGAGAAUGAGAAGCUGACAGAUAUUUCCAUAACUAGGGAGAUAGUGGAACAGGAGAUAGAUAGGCUAAAAAAGUUCAAGUCACCAGGACCUGAUGAAAUAUAUCCCAGAGUACUUAAGGAAUGUAAAGAGAUUAUUAGUGAGCCGUUAGUUUCUGUCUUUAGGAAAUCACUGGAGUCGGAUGAGGUACCAGUAAUGUGGAGGCAGGCUAAUGUAGUACCCAUCUUUAAGAAAGGAGAUAAAACUUUAGCGUCUAAUUAUAGACCUGUCAGCUUAACUUCAGUUGUAGGUAAAAUGUUAAAGUCUGUAAUAGCGAGGAACAUUAGGGAACAUUUAGACAAACAUAACUUGAUAAAUCAGUCACAGCAUGGCUUCACGAAGGGGAAGUCUUGCCUGACAAACUUGUUAAGUUUUUACAGUAAGGUGUACGAGGCAGUAGAUAAUGGUGAUAGUUAUGAUAUCUUAUAUCUGGACUUUAGUAAAGCAUUCAACAAGGUGCCCCAUCAAAGGCUCCUGAGAAAGGUUAGGGCACACGGGAUAGAUGGGAAGGUGUUAGGCUGGAUAGGGUCAUGGCUUAGUGACAGGCGACAGAGAGUGCUAAUAAACGGCUCGAAAUCCGAGUGGGGUCAUGUAAUUAGUGGGGUGCCACAGGGAUCAGUAUUAGGGCCAUUGUUAUUUCUAAUGUAUAUCAAUGACUUGGAUACUGGAAUUAGUAGUGAUGUUAGUAAAUUUGCGGAUGACACAAAGAUAGGUAGAUUAAUUAGGUCAGAAUCGGAUGCCAUCGCCUUGCAGGCAGACUUAGAUAGAAUGAAUGAAUGGACGGAUAGAUGGCAAAUGCAAUUUAAUAUCAAUAAAUGCAAAGUGCUUAGCGUAGGUAGAGGAAAUCCACACAAUAGGUACACAUUACACAACCAAACUCUGGUAGGUACAGGGUACGAGAAAGAUUUAGGAGUUAUAGUUAGCUCUGAACUCCGUCUAGGGAAACAAUGCAUAGAAGCCAGAAACAAGGCAAAUAGGGUACUAGGAUUCAUUUUUAGGAGUGUUAAAAGUAGAAGGCCGGGAGUAAUAUUAAAAUUAUACUUGGCGCUGGUCACACCUCAUCUAGACUACGCGGUGCAGUUCUGGUCCCCACAUUACAGGAAAGAUAUAGGUCUAUUAGAAUCAGUACAGAGGAGAAUGACUAAAAGGAUACAGGGGAUGAGGAGUAUUCCUUACGAGGCGAGGUUGAAGCUGUUAAAUUUACAUUCUUUAGAGAGACGUAGGUUAAGAGGGGACCUGAUAGAAGUCUUUAAGUGGUAUAAGGGUUAUAACAAGGGAGAUGUAAGCAAAAUUCUUAGGAUCAGCAACCAGGGUAGAACAAGAAAUAACGGGUUCAAGCUUGAAAAAUUUAGGUUUAGGAAGGAGAUAGGAAGAAAUUGGUUCUCAAAUAGAGUGGUAGAUGAGAGGAACGGACUCAGUAAUCAUGUAGUUAGUGCUAGGACACUAGAGAGCUUUAAGAGAAGAUUAGACAAGUUUAUGGAUGGGGAUAGCAGAUGGAAAUAGGUAGGUGUGUUUCAUACAGGGACUGCCACGUGUAAGCCUGGUCGCUUCUUGCAGCUUCUCUUAUUUCUUAUGUUCUUCUUAUGUUCUAAACCUUUCAAGAUCUAACCCCGUGACUUCUGCCACUUAACCCAAAAACAUCUAUAAUAACUUUGAUUCUUCUUUCCCUCCCUUAUUUCAACCAGAUGGCACCACUGCUAUGACAUAUAUCUCUAAAGCUGAACUCUUUGCUCAAUCCUUUGCUACAAACUCUACCUUGGACGAUUCAAGGUUUGUUCCUCCCUCUCCUCCACUAGCGUAGACAAGACUGUCGGUAUACAAUGGACAUGACACGCUGAGGCAGCUGGUACAGCUUUGGCUCUAAAUGUUAUAAUAAUACUCUGCCACUUUGUUGACAAGUGACAAUACAACCUCUCGUUCCUCAGACUGUUCUUUUCACGUAACAGCCUCAAACCAAAUCCUGAAAUACUGAACCAACAUGAACCACCUCUGCUAUCAAGUAGUCAGCACUGUGAAGGGCUGUACAGUUCCUUACCUCACUAAAUAAUACUUCUUUCUGAUCCAAUGUGUCUGUCUGUUUGUCUGCUACCAUGGCUUGACCUGCUCUUCUUUCAUCUGUAGCUUCCAUUCUGUCUGCCGUCUCCUUGCAUCCCCUUGUCCACCACACCAUCCUCUCUUGUGUGUCUGCUGCCACUGUCUAUCUAGAAAAAAAUGUUUUCUGCCAAACCUUGAACUAGUACAACAUGAACCACCUGUGGUCUAAUCUUUCUCCAGCAUUUCUUCUGUCCACUGUCACUGUCUGAACCAUUCACCUAACACACCAUCCUUCCUGCCACGGUCAUUCCUCUCUGAUGCUCUUCUCUUUCUCCCUCUCUCAGCGUGGUGGCAGCACGGGCCUCGGCACUCCCUGGCACCACGGCAGGUGUCAGUGAGGCAGGCAGGUGUUGGUUCAAGUCCUGGCAGUGUCACUUCGCUGCUGUAUUGUUUUGUGCAGCGGAUGAUGCUACGUUUUUCAUCACUUAGUGUAGAGUUUAUUUUUGCCUGACGUUAUUUGUGUUGGAAAGACAUUUCCAUUAUAUAGUGGUAGAUACUCUAGGAAAUAAGGAAUUAGCAAUACUAAUACAUGCUUGAACAACACUCACCGGUGUGGAAGGCUUGUCAGGGAGUGGCUGUAGUGGCUUCACUUGAACCACGACCAUGUUCUCCUCAACCCUUGGAAAGAUAACAAUUUAUCUGAAAUGGAGAUACAAAGAUAGAGAAAAAUUUAAGUGAGACACUGCAAAGUGUAGCUGACAGUGUACGCGUCGUCAUCAAGAAGAGGGGCUCUGCAAAGAAAUAGUAAGACACUCGUGAAGGCUACCAUCUUUUCUCAAGGGAAGUGUGUGUCGUGUUUCUUAACAUCGUCAGGCGCGCAAACAUGUUUUGCAUCAAGGGUGUCGUUGUACGAUCCGGAUAUGAAUUUUUUUUUCUUUUUUUAUUUUCUACAUUCUUUUUCCCAUUUUU